CGUACACUCCUGCGGGAGGCAGCAGUGGGGAAUAUUGCACAAUGGGCGGAAGCCUGAUGCCGCAACGCCGCGUGCGGGAUGACGGCCUUCGGGUUGUAAACCGCUUUCGCCUGUGACGAAGCGUGAGUGACGGUAAUGGGUAAAGAAGCACCGGCUAACUACGUGCCAGCAGCCGCGGUGAUACGUAGGGUGCGAGCGUUGUCCGGAUUUAUUGGGCGUAAAGGGCUCGUAGGUGGUUGAUCGCGUCGGAAGUGUAAUCUUGGGGCUUAACCCUGAGCGUGCUUUCGAUACGGGUUGACUUGAGGAAGGUAGGGGAGAAUGGAAUUCCUGGUGGAGCGGUGGAAUGCGCAGAUAUCAGGAGGAACACCAGUGGCGAAGGCGGUUCUCUGGGCCUUUCCUGACGCUGAGGAGCGAAAGCGUGGGGAGCGAACAGGCUUAGAUACCCCAGUAGUCCCA
rnacentral:rRNA from 1 species